AUGUUUUAUAUUUAUAAAAUACUGUCUUUAAUAGUGUCAAAUAUAAAGUAUCUCAUGUCACCUCAAAUACAUUUAGGAGGAAACAAACUGGAAUGAGAGGCUGUGCGCCACACUGAAAGAUACAAAAAUUUCCAUUUUUGUCCACUGGGCAGCAGUGGUUUCUCAAAAUAGCAAAGGGUGGUAGUGCAAACACAUCUGCAGAAGGAAGGAUAGUAAUUCACUCGCUUUACAGUGUGCCUUCCUUCUUUAGCCUGAAGGUCAGGUUAUUGGAGGAACACUGCUCAGCAGACAUUAGAGACUGAGGUAAGAGUGUGUGAUGCGCUCGCUGAAAAAUCAACAAAAAAAGAAAUUUACAGGCAUUGUAAAAAGCUAUCUCUUCUGAUAUUAUUUAUUCACUCAGCUGAUAAUUUUCUCCAAAACAACUGAUGAUGUAUGAUUCGUAAGCUACUACUUAGCUAAUCUAAGACUAAGCUACUUACUAUUAUUUACCCAUUUAUACAGCUGGGUAAUUUUUACUGGGGCAAUGGGCUGGGUGCCUUGAUCAAGGCUACUGAGCAGGAGUGGGAAUUAGAACUCAGGUCCUUAGGAUUGUAAGGCAACAGUUCUAAGCACUGCUUCACAGUGUUUGUAAAGGGUCAAUACAAGGUUCCAGUUCUACGUGUGUGUGUGUGUGUGAGCUAUUACGUCUCGGGAUACUGCUUGCGUUUCCUGCCUCCCUUUUGAUUUUUACUGGCUCCACUUUUCUAGUUUUUCAGGCUUAUGCAGGAUGAGAUAUAAGGAAUUUGAGCGGAUGAAGAAGAAGCCUCAUUGCAGCCCUCGAGGGGUGAGGUGGCCCAUCGUCCAGGUGACUCUUACUCCUGCUCCUCCAGGUGACUGGGUGCUGAUACAGGAGGUCUGCUUCGCGCAAUACCUGAGGGGCCUGGUUUUUCCGGGACGGUCCAGCUCACCGUUUCAGGUCAUGUUGUUUUUCGUACAACCUUGUCUUACAAUUGAAGAUGAGCAGUAAAACUAAUAUUUCGAUUGUAAAUCAGUCACUAUUUAAAAUGUGCUGGCAAAAUACUUAGGAUUGUAGCCUCAGUUUUAUGGACAGAGAGAAGAAGAGAGAGGAGCUGCUCGAGAAAACAGAGAGGGAGAAUUGCAGGGAAUAUGAAUUCACUUCUCACCACGCUGGAAGCGCAGGCACUGCUCCCAGUCGAAAUCGAAGCCUGCUGUUGAUGUGUUUUUAUAAUUAUUGCAUUUUUUAGCAAAAUGGCACAAAUAGUUUUCAGUUUUAUAGCCCUUUGGAACCUGUAAAUGUUUACCGAAAAUAUUAAGGUUGAGCACCUCAAGAAUAAUAAGUCUGGCUGCAUCUAAUGGGAUCUGAACCUGCAAAGCUACUGGUUACCAUCCAAACCCCUGUAUUGUAUUGUUGCUUUUAUACCAACUGUCUGCUCAUUUUGGUACCAAAACAAUAUAAAAUCAAGAAUAUAAAAAUGCAAUUUUUUAAUGCAGAGAUCUGUCGCGUAGAGCAGACCUGAGACCCGGGUGUGGACCCAUUUGUGGGAUCAUUUAUUAUGAAGAUACUCAGGACAAGACAAUACUCUCAGGCGGGGACAAGCGUGGUUCAAUCCAAGGUGCAAACAUGGACCGAGGGGAGAAUCCGAAGACGUGGUCGAUGAUACGAAGCGAGGUUCGAUGCGUUGGGAAGCAGGAACAGGGACAAGGAGACGGGCAAAGGAACAAGGAGCGAGGCAGAAGGCCGCAAGGUGUCCAUGGGUGUGUGUGCUGUUACAUUCAGAUGCCCCUGGGGGACACACUACAGUCAGCUUCCAGAGCUGAGCUUCAGCUGAUGAGCUCCACAGCUCCUGGGCCUUCUCUGCAGAGAGCCUGCUGCGUGGCUCCAUCAUGCUCCCUGCUGGAACGAGACAGUCGCGCGUUACGCCGUUCCCAUGGAGACACACCACUUGCAGCACAUGUGGUUUGCAGGGAUGGCGCAGCACCGUGAUAACGACUCAUCUCUGAAACAAUGACAGCCCCACAUUUCAGUCACAUGUUCUGUGACACAUGCACCAGAAGGGUGGCUAUUAGGAUGGUGACAUCAGACCUUUCAUUAUAUGGCAUCCAGCGUAAACAUCACCUGUUAUUGCAUUAGCCACGUGCAAUUUGGCAGAAACAUUACCGUCUGAAUGCAGAUGUUUUGGUUUUCCAUAAGUACCUCACCACCACACUGCCAACAAAGGUAAAACCGCAAGCAACUCAAAUCAUUAACAUAUAAUACCCAAAUGAAUAGUAAUAUCAAUAAUAAUAAUGACUACUGUUCACUUUAUCAUACGUGACACUGCAUUUUACAGAGAAACCAUGGAACAGACAGACUAAAACAAAACUGAUACUUCUGCUUUCUUAUUCAGCGUGAAUUUAAUUCUGGUUAAGUUGAAUGGUACAGCAGAAGGGCCCCUUCUGACACCUGAACCAUAACCGUGAGAUAAUGGGUCCUUCAGACAACGGCUGUUUAACCUCUAUAGUUCCUCCCUCCCCUGCUUCACCUCCCCCACACACACACAGAUGGCAAUUCCAGUUUUGCUCCUGGUGAAUCAUUCAGGAAAACAACUCAAGCACUAUAGCUACGUCAUUUACCAGCUUACAUAUCCCAGAGUUCUGUGUGGGAUAAUGACAGACAAGGGUGGUACCCGUUCAUCAUAACCUGGAUGCUACCCAAUGCUUGGUUGAAAAAGGCUUGAGGUAUGACAGCUGA